UUUACAUUGAGAACAGUAAGCUUUCGGGACCCUUACCUGUGAAUAUUGGUAAGUUAAAACAACUUGGGGCCUUGAGUCUUGAAGGGAAUCGGUUCACUGGAUCCAUACCGAGUUCUAUCUCCGAGUUGACUCAGUUAACUCAGUUGGUUCUUGGGAAAAAUGAAUUCUCUGGUCAUUUCCCGGCGGGGAUUAAACAGAUUAGGAACCUUAGUUACCUGAGUUUAGAACAAAACAAGCUGAUGGGUACCAUUCCGGAUAUUUUCAAAUCGUUCACCGACCUUAGAAUUCUUAGACUUUCCCAUAAUGAAUUUUCGGGGAAAAUCCCAGAAUCAAUAUUGUCUUUGGCACCGAAAUUGGCGUACCUUGAGUUGGGCCAUAA
rnacentral:lncRNA from 1 species